rnacentral:tRNA from 1 species
GCCACUAUAGCUCAGAGGUAGAGCACUGGUCUCGUAAACCAGGGGUCGUGAGUUCAAUCCUCACUGGUGGCU